rnacentral:tRNA from 1 species
GCAUCGGUGGUUCAGUGGUAGAAUGCUCGCCUGCCACGCGGGCGGCCCCGGGUUCAAUUCCCGGCCGAUGCA